rnacentral:rRNA from 1 species
AGGGGAAUAUUGCACAAUGGGCGGAAGCCUGCUGCAGCGACGCCGCGUGGGGGAUGAAGGCCUUCGGGUUGUAAACUCCUCUCGACAGGGACGAAGCUUUUGUGACGGUACCUGUAUAAGAAGCACCGGCUAACUACGUUCCAGCAGCCGCGGUAAUACGUAGGGUGCGAGCGUUGUCCGGAAUUACUGGGCGUAAAGAGCUCGUAGGUGGUUUGUCGCGUCGUCUGUCAAAUUCCGGGGCUUAACUCCGGGCGUGCAGGCGAUACGGGCUGACUUGAGUGCUGUAUGGGUGACUGGAAUUCCUUGUGUAGCGGUGAAAUGCGCAGAUAUCAGGAGGAUCUCCGAUGGCGAAGUCAGGUCUCUGGGAAGUAACUGACGCUGAGGAGCGAAAGCAUGGGUAGCGAACAGG